CUUGUUACAAGAAAUUUUGAAGGGGUCAUGUGACUAUCCCAGGAUCUGGAUUCCCCAAAAUAGCGGCGUGUCAGGAUGAUAGUUGUUCAAGUUACGUCACUGCAAUAUCCUGAAGUUCCUUCAGUUUCUGCCAGCAUUCACUGAUCCUCAUCCAAGUGAAACGCUUUGACUGCGGCUUUAGACCAAAGAGCUGGCCUCAGGGGCAAGAUUGUAGACCUGCACAAGACUGAAAUUGACUGCAAGAGCAUCAACAAGAUUGCAGACCUACACAAGACUGGGAUGGACUACAAGACUGUAGACCUGCACAUGACUUGAAUGGAUUACAAGACCAUGAACAAGAUUGUAGACCUGCACAAGACUGGAAUGGCCGAGAAGACAAUCACCAUCACCCUGAUUGUAGACCUCCGCAGCUGGAAUGGACUUCAAGACCAUCAAACUGAUUGUAGACCUGUACAAGACUGGAAUGGGAUACAAGACCAUGAAAAAGAUUGUAGACCGACAUAAGUCUGGAAUGAACUAUAAGACCAUCAACAAAAUUGUAGACCUACAUAACUGGAAUGGACUACAAGACCAUGAACACGCUUGUAGACCUGCACAAGGCUAGA